rnacentral:lncRNA from 1 species
GGAGUAACUUGUAAUAAUAAAAUGGUUCAGUUCAUUAUAUCACUUUGAGCAUGUCAUGGAAAAUGUAUCAUGAUAUACCAAAAGCAGGUCCUAACGAUAGUGAAAGAGAUCAACAGAUAUGGUUCUUCUAAUUCUGAGCUCAUCUUCGAGAGAAAUUACAUAUUUACAUAUCUCCUAAUUCUGAUCCCAUCUUUCUAUAGUUCAGUCUUUAAUAAUUAUUUCAACAUCAACAGUAUAUGUGAACAUCAGGAGGGAAGCAGAUGUGUGCCUUCCUUUUGCAUUUGACUCGGUUGAAACAAUAAAACCUCUCCACAUAAAAAAAGCAAUCUGCAAAAGCAUGUUCCAAACAUUUUAGAGCAUGCUGGCAAUACAAAGCAAUAAAUGGUUGUACAGCAAAGCAGAAGUGCAUAUGAGCUACUACUGUGACGUUUAGUUAUGAAUCAAGUGGAGCACAAUAAGAUCAUGUUCAUAACCUGCAAAACAAUAAUAAAAGACCUCAAUUUAUUAUUUUCCAUGGAUUUAAGUAUAUUCCAUGAGAAAUUUCUGCUGUAACCAAGUCUCAAGCUCAAACCAAAAUAUUUUAGCAUCAUUACUUGAGUUGUUUUCUGUUUUCUGUAAGUUGUAGAUCUGAUGCUACACGCCCUGAUCAGUGCGCAGUAGUAAUAUAUGAUUCAGGUAUAAUGGACACUCAUGAUUUUUUUCCUUUCUUAAAAUGAGGUAUACAACUAAUCAACUAUACACACCGGAUACUCAAGUUACAUGGUAAUAAAUAUUCAGAGAAGAAAUAUAUCACGACAAUGAUCGCAACUCAUUUCAUGUAGUGCAAAUCACAAAAGGGGGAAGAUGCUUUCAUGGAAGAAUCUAAAAUCAUUCACUGCAUAACAAAUAUUGUUUAUCUACUACCAAUUAUAUAUCGCAGUUGAUGUAUGUACAUUACCAAGACAAAGCAAGUAACAGGAAGCACAUUAUUAUUUUGAGCUGAAGUGUAUGCAGAUGGCACAAAUACUCGAGGCAUGUUCUAAUUAUUCUACUGGCUCUAGGUCCAAAAGAAUGAGCAAGAAGAAAUAUAUAUCUCUCUCAGAAAAAUAUAGGAUUACUAAUCUGAAGAAUAUAAAUUUGUCUGAUAAAAAAAAAUCCAUGCAUGACUUCCUACCUCAUAAGCAUGCGGACCAUUUAGAAGCCAAGCUAACAUCAAGUACAAAAAAUACAAACCGUCAUUAUUGGCAAAAUGCCGCACUUCCUACCUCAGAAGCACGAGGCGUGCAAUAAUUAUUGGGAUAUCCUACCAUGAAUCAGCAGGCACAGGUAAAUGGAACAUACACAGUAAUAGUUCACACA